rnacentral:rRNA from 1 species
AGUGAACGCUGGCGGUAGGCCUAACACAUGCCAGUCGAACGGCAGCACAGUAAGAUCUUGCUCUUACGGGUGGCGAGUGGCGGACGGGUGAGGAAUACAUCGGAAUCUACUUUUUCGUGGGGGAUAACGUAGGGAAACUUACGCUAAUACCGCAUACGACCUACGGGUGAAAGCAGUGGAUCUUCGGACCUUUCGCGAUUGAAUGAGCCGAUGUCGGAUUAGCUAGUUGGGGGGGUAACGGCCCACCAAGGCGACGAUCCGUAGCUGGUCUGAGAGGAUGAUCAGCCACACUGGAACUGAGACACGGUCCAGACUCCUACGGGAGGCAGCAGUGGGGAAUAUUGGACAAUGGGCGCAAGCCUGACCCAGCCAUACCGCGUGGGUGAAGAAGGCCUUCGGGUUGUAAAGCCCUUUUGUUGGGAAAGAAAAGCAGCAGGUUAAUACCCCGCUGUUCUGACGGUACCCAAAGAAUAAGCACCGGCUAACUUCGUG